AAUUCACUUAAAUAAAUAAUUUAACAAGAAAAACAACAUUGUGCUAUAAAAAUUUAUUUUAUUGUUAAGAAGCCUACUAACAAUAUAACUGAAGUGAAAACAUCAGUUUGUUAAUAACUAAUCAAUGCACAAAAUCUGAAAAUUCUAACAAUUUUAAAAACAGUCAGAGGAGAAAAUUACAUAAUAAUUUUCGUUGAUACAUGCAGUUAAAUGUGUAUAUAGGGUAACAUAAUAGAAACGAAUUCAUGUUUUUACAGCUACAAUGGUUACGAUUAUAAACAGAGCCCAGGCAGGAGUUGGUAACUUGCAAUUGAUUCCUUACUGCAUAUAGUAAGGAUUUGCGUGCAGACUGAAAAACUAAUUCAGAGUUAAGGGUUUAUGCGUUAACCAAAUUUGUGGUGGUGUAAAACUGAGUUUGUAAUGGAGUGAUCGUUGCCUUUUGUCCCCAAUUGGACACCCGUGAAUUUGAAUGAAAACUACAAAUUUUUGCUUGUUCAGUCAUUCCUGUUUAGACUCUGGUUAUGCGGUAAUGUGAGUAAGUGUAAAAGGAGACAGGAAAAAAGGAAACUGAGAAUGAUUUGGAGUUAAAGUGUGCAACUUUUUCAAAAGAUAACAUCGAAUCCUGUGUGAGCACAAACUCAACAGCAUAAUUGUCAUAAUUAAGAUAAUGUAGUACUGUAUUAAAAUGAGGUAAAUGCAGUGGUAUUAUUAGUAUUACCUAUUGGGAAGAAUUACUAUAUCAAUGUUGUAUCAUACAAUACCUAGGGAUUUGAAUUUUCCCUGUAACAACAAAUUUAUAAUUGAAUGCAAGUAUUUUAGUCAACUGUGCAUAUAGAAACUAUAUGCACAGUUAUAUAUUGCAUAUAUAAAAAUAUAUAUUAACAAUUUAAACCUGUACUUCACCAAACUAAACAGAGUAAAAACUGUGCCAAACAACAAGUUUUAAAUUUGAUACAAAAAAAAAGUAACGCUAUUUGGAAAGACCUUCAUAUGUAUAGCGCCAUUAAGGUAGUCCAGUUCCUUACAUUUCAAAAGUUGGUGUUGCCAAUUGAAUUUUUUUAUAUUGUUAUAUGUAUAUUAAAAUAAGAAAUUAAGCUCUGGUCUUCCCAUUUUGUUAAAAUUAAAUAAAUCAUUUUUUAUUUUAUUAAUGCAA